AAAUUGAAGAGUUUGAUCAUGGCUCAGAUUGAACGCUGGCGGCAGGCCUAACACAUGCAAGUCGAACGGUAACAGGAAACAGCUUGCUGCUUUGCUGA
rnacentral:rRNA from 1 species